rnacentral:rRNA from 1 species
UACAGAGGGUGCGAGCGUUAAUCGGAAUUACUGGGCGUAAAGCGUGCGUAGACGGUUGCGCAAGUCAGAUGUGAAAGCCCCGGGCUCAACCUGGGAAUUGCAUUUGAGACUGCGCAGCUAGGGUGCGGAAGAGGGAAGCGGAAUUUCCGGUGUAGCGGUGAAAUGCGUAGGAUAAUCGGAAGGAACACCAGUGGCGAAAGGCGG